AACGAACGCUGGCGGCAGGCUUAACACAUGCAAGUCGAGCGCCCCGCAAGGGGAGCGGCAGACGGGUGAGUAACGCGUGGGAAUCUACCGUGCCCUACGGAAUAGCUCCGGGAAACUGGAAUUAAUACCGUAUACGCCCUACGGGGGAAAGAUUUAUCGGGGUAUGAUGAGCCCGCGUUGGAUUAGCUAGUUGGUGGGGUAAAGGCCUACCAAGGCGACGAUCCAUAGCUGGUCUGAGAGGAUGAUCAGCCACAUUGGGACUGAGACACGGCCCAAACUCCUACGGGAGGCAGCAGUGGGGAAUAUUGGACAAUGGGCGCAAGCCUGAUCCAGCCAUGCCGCGUGAGUGAUGAAGGUCUUAGGAUUGUAAAAUUCUUUCACCGGGGACGAUAAUGACGGUACCCGGAGAAGAAGCCCCGGCUAACUUCGUGCCAGCCGCCGCCGUAAAAC
rnacentral:rRNA from 1 species